rnacentral:rRNA from 1 species
UACGGGAGGCAGCAGGGGGGAAUAUUGCACAAUGGGCGCAAGCCUGAUGCAGCCAUGCCGCGUGUAUGAAAAAGGCCUUCGGGUUUGUAAAGUACUUUCAGUCGUGAGGAAGGUGUUAAGGUUAAUAACCUUAGCAAUUGACGUUAGCGACAGAAGAAGCACCGGCUAACUCCGUGCCAGCAGCCGCGGUAAUACGGAGGGUGCGAGCGUUAAUCGGAAUUACUGGGCGUAAAGGGCACGCAGGCGGUUAAUUAAGUUGGAUGUGAAAUCCCCGGGCUUAACCUGGGAAUGGCAUUCAAGACUGGUUAGCUAGAGUCUUGUAGAGGGGGUAGAAUUCCAUGUGUAGCGGUGAAAUGCGUAGAGAUGUGGAGGAAUACCGGUGGCGAAAGGCGGCCCCUGGACAAAGACUGACGCUCAUGUGCGAAAGCGUGGGGAGCAAACAGGGAUUAGAUACC